rnacentral:lncRNA from 1 species
AAAAGAGAAAAAAAAGGGCGCGGGCGUCCACCUCUUUCACUGACAAGCACCUCCACCACAGGCAACCACCGGCAUCCGACGACCUUCAACCAAUCCGACGAGCUUCCUUUUUCCUCCCUCCUCCGCCCUAAUUUUAGAUCACCAGUUGUGCUCCGCCGCCGGCUGAUAAACCUCUAUGGCUUUUAUGGAUCAUUUUCUGAGCGUUACUACUGAGCUAGUUGUGCGAUGCCCCAACCCAGGCCUGUAAGGUGAUUGCUUAUGGGAUGGUGUUUUAUUGAUUUCAUAGUGUGCAGUUUGGUUAAGGUUUAUGGACGUUUGUGCGGGGAUUUCUUUGGCAGUGACUAUUGUGGCUUAGUAGGGGUGCUUGGGUAGUAGCAGGUUUUGGAUUCUUCAAGACUAGGGUUUUGCUGGGUCUGGUAGUUUUGGGCGAUCAUACGUGGAUUUUGGGGAUACUUCUUGUAUUUCUCUAUUUCUUCUUUUUAUCCUAUUAUACUUUUGGAGCUUUUUUUCUAUUAUUAAUGAAAUUAACUGUGAAAAUUUAAAA